GACCAUAUCACGUGGGUGGAAACAUCGACUCUCGUAUGAUCACCGAAGUUAAGCAACGUCGAGCCUCGUCAGUACGUAGAUGGGUGACCGCUUGGGAAUACCAUGUGUUAUA